rnacentral:rRNA from 1 species
UAAUGUAUGGGGAUCUGCCCGAUGAGGGGGAUAACUACUGGAAACGGUGGCUAAUACCGCAUAAUGUCUACGGACCAAAGCAGGGGCUCUUCGGACCUUGCACUAUCGGAUGAACCCAUAUGGGAUUAGCUAGUAGGUGGGGUAAAGGCUCACCUAGGCGACGAUCUCUAGCUGGUCUGAGAGGAUGAUCAGCCACACUGGGACUGAGACACGGCCCAG